rnacentral:rRNA from 1 species
ACGCUGGCGGCAGGCCUAACACAUGCAAGUCGAGCGGCAGCACGGGUACUUGUACCUGGUGGCGAGCGGCGGACGGGUGAGUAAUGCCUAGGAAUCUGCCUGGUAGUGGGGGAUAACGCUCGGAAACGGACGCUAAUACCGCAUACGUCCUACGGGAGAAAGCAGGGGACCUUCGGGCCUUGCGCUAUCAGAUGAGCCUAGGUCGGAUUAGCUAGUUGGUGGGGUAAUGGCUCACCAAGGCGACGAUCCGUAACUGGUCUGAGAGGAUGAUCAGUCACACUGGAACUGAGACACGGUCCAGACUCCUACGGGAGGCAGCAGUGGGGAAUAUUGGACAAUGGGCGAAAGCCUGAUCCAGCCAUGCCGCGUGUGUGAAGAAGGUCUUCGGAUUGUAAAGCACUUUAAGUUGGGAGGAAGGGCAGUUACCUAAUACGUAUCUGUUUUGACGUUACCGACAGAAUAAGCACCGGCUAACUCUGUGCCAGCAGCCGCGGUAAUACAGAGGGUGCAAGCGUUAAUCGGAAUUACUGGGCGUAAAGCGCGCGUAGGUGGUUUGUUAAGUUGAAUGUGAAAUCCCCGGGCUCAACCUGGGAACUGCAUGCAAAACUGGCAAGCUAGAGUAUGGUAGAGGGUGGUGGAAUUU